rnacentral:lncRNA from 1 species
CAGCUGCAGAGCGGGACAAGGGUGCUGCCGGCACAGGGCUGACCACGGAGCACAUCAAAAGAGGCCCACUGCUCAGUGGAGCGUGGAGGACGAGGAGGAGGCUGUCCACGAGCAAUGCCAGCAUGAGAGAGACAGGCAGCUUCAGGCGCAGGACGAGGAGGGAGGCGGCCAUGUCCCCGAGCGGCCGAAGCAGGAGAUGCUGUGAGCAGCCCCCUAACGCGUGCCUGGGCUCUAGCCCCUA